rnacentral:rRNA from 1 species
GCAACUCGCCUACACGAAGCUGGAAUCGCUAGUAAUCGCGGAUCAGCACGCCGCGGUGAAUACGUUCCCGGGCCUUGUACACACCGCCCGUCACACCAUGAGAGUCUGUAACACCCAAAGCCGGUGGGAUAACCUUUAUAGGAGUCAGCCGUCUAAGGUAGGACAGAUGAUUAGGGUGAAGUCGUAACAAGGUACC